rnacentral:lncRNA from 1 species
UCCAAUUGACCCGAACUAACAUGUAAAAUUAAUGUAAGAGUGAGUAUUUAAAAAUACCUAGUAAGAUACGUGCAAUUUCCAUACACAAUUACAUAACAAAUAAAUUAUACACUUCAUACCGCUCUUCUUUUAUGAAGUAUAUCGGUGACCAAGCGACACACCCAUCUUAAGUCCUCUUAAAUUCCCGUAGAAAUUGCAUAUCUCUUUCUCUAGAACUCAAAGGUCCACUAGCAAUUUAUGCAUAUUAAUUGUAUAUAAGAGCAUAAGGAAACUAAAACACUUUGCACAUAAAUGUAUCUUACUUGUCUUGAAAAAUCUGAAUGCACGUUCAAAAUCUUUUCUUCACUUUGAAAAACACGUGAUUAAAAUAUUUGAUGCAGGAAAACUUUAUUUCCAAUACUAUUCUCUCUCUUCCUUUCUCUCUCUCUCCUUUCUCUUUCUCUUUCUCUUUCUCUCUUCUCUCUCUUUACCGUAUGUAUUGUAUAAGAAUUGGUGUGAGAAUAACUUUUUUCAACGUGCCUAUAUUUAUAGUGCAGGAUUUUUGGAAAAGUGGGACACUGCUCACAAUUAAUCUUUAUCUGAGUCAACCAAAAAGAUUCAUUGGAUUUGUACUACACCUUUGUUUCUAUCUCAAUCAAGUCAUGUGCAAUAAAAUAUUCCUCAACCCUUUCCCAAUUUCAGCAGAAGUAUUAUUUUAUUAAUUAUCACCAAAAUUGAGGACUGCUGGAAGACUUCAUUUUCUUUAGGAGUUGUUAUCUAAAAUAAACAAAAAACAAACCCACUACACGUAACCGGCUAAUUAAGUUAAAAAAAAAAAGAUAGUUAUUUACUUAGGAUUACUAUUAACAAUUAACCUUUAUCCUAAUCAACUCUUAAAACUAAUCUAAAUUACCAGCCAACCAUCAUAAUUAACUUGAUCAGUUCCAUAUUUAUCUUUACCAAAAAUGUAACCCAUUCAUCUCUAUAGACACGUGGCUGGAUCCCUAUGAAAAUCCAAAUCCCAAAUCAAAGCAAAUAAAUCUAUUUAAAAUAAUACUACCUUAUCUAUCAUAACCUACCCUUGUACUAUGCCAAGAAAAUUGCCCAUAUAUUUUAUAUAAUAAGUAUGGCAGCCAUUAACUUAAUAAAAAGAUAACAGUAAGCAGAGUUUUAAUGCUAUCGAAACUGUCGAGCCUAGUUUCACAAAUAAUUUGGAUGAGAAAUAUUUUACAAUAAUAAAGUUAGGAUUAUCAUUAAACUAUAUCAUAAUCCAAUUGAAAUUACUAGUAAACUUAUUAAAAACAGGGUCAUGCGUGGCAGCCAAUUUUCCUAUUAAUUACCUACCAACUUAAUAAAUAACAAAGCUUACAUUUUUAGAACUACAAUAUCUCGGACCUAACUUAUCCGAAUUAUCUUUUUCUUUGGCCUAAAAUACACUAUUAAUUACAAGCUAUCCAAUGAGUCCAAUAUCGAUAUACUUAUACUUGCUCUAUCAAAAUUUAAUUAUUUGACUCAAAGUAUAAGAAUUUAAAAUAUAUUACCUCUUAGUCCCUCAACUUUUGAAACCAUAAAAUAUUAUAUAUAUUUAUUCUAAAAUUUUUGGGGUGUUACACACAUUGCCAACAUCUCAAAACUAUACUAGAGAUUCUACAGAAACAUCAGUUAUAUGCAAAGAAAUCCAAAUGCAGUUUUGGACAAUUACAAGCGGGAUACUUAGGACACAUAAUCAGCAAGGAAGGAGUUUCAGCUGAACUCGAUAAAAUUGAAGCUAUGCAGCUAUGGCCUGUUCCUAAGAAUGUCAAGCAGGUGAGGGGGUUUCUUAGAUUGACGGGAGUAUAUCCUUUGAACAAUUGAAGCAAGCUAUGAGCACAACUCCAGUGCUAGCUUUACCUGAUUUCACUAAGCCCUUUACAAUUGAAACCAAUGCAUGCCAAAAAGGAAUUGGGGCGGUACUAAUGCAAGACAGGAAACCGCUGGCCUAUCUAAGCAAAGCUAUUGGAGUUAGAAAUAUGGGAAUGUCCAUAUAUGAGAAAGAAUUACUGGCCCUUGUAACAGCAGUAAGCAAAUGGCGACACUACCUAGAGGGUCACCAUUUCAUUGUGAAGACGGAACAUCAAUCCGUAAAGUAUCUAUUAGAACAGAGGAUUACCACUCUUCUCCAACAAAAAUAGCUUACCAAGUUAUUAGGCCUCAACUAUGAAAUCAUUUAUAAGAGAGGGGUUGAUAAUGUCGUAGCAGAUGCUUUGUCAAGGAGACAUGAUGAACCAUCGGAAUGUCUAGGAAUAACUACAGUGGUACCUGCAUGGAUUCAGGAGGUCAUGGAUAGUUAUGAAGGAGAUAAGUUGGCUAAGGAAAAGCUUCAGGCUUCAUUAUUACAACCUGAGUUUGAUCCUACCUUCACCUACAUCAAUGGGUUGCUGAAACUCAAGGGGAAGGUAUAUAUCAAGACAGGAGGAAACAUCAUAACAAAGCUGAUAGAGAACAUUCAUAGCUCACAAGAAGGGGGACAUUCAGGUAUUCAUAACAGUAUCUAUAGAGCCAAGCAACUAUUUCACUGGCCAGGAAUAAAUAGGAUAUCAAGAGGGUCGUUCUACAGCGCGAGGUAUGCCAGAAGUGCAAGGGAGAACAUGUUGUGGAAAUCACAUAUCAAUCAUACUUUAAUUAUGGAGAUUGUAAUAUUUGUAGUAUGAAAUAUUUAGGACUAAUUUAGGAAAUAAUUUGUGGUAAAAUAUUAUCCUUCCUUUUCCAUUCCUUGUAUUGUUGUAUAUAUUGAAGGUGGAGUGUAAGAAUUAUGCACAAUAAAAAAAACAAAUGUUUCUUCAUUACUUCUUUAUGGUAUCAGAGCCAGGGUAAAAUCAAACCCGGCUAUCAAUGGUAGAUACCACUGCCAACAAUACAACUUUAGCCACUGCCGAGACCAGAACCAGUGAGACUGAAGCUGGUCACACCAUGGCGUCAAUUGGAAUUGCUAAUUCCUCAUUCCAACUCACAGUCGAGAAACUCGAUGGUAGAAACUAUAGAGAAUGGGCUCAAUCCAUUAAGCUCAUGGUCAAAGGAAAAGGAAAAAUAGGGUACCUUACCGGCGACGCAAAGCAACCUGCAGAUCCCGUUCUUCAGCAAAAGUGGAAAUCGGAAAACUCUAUGGUUAUGUCAUGGCUCCUCAACUCAAUGGCACCGUCAAUCAGCAAAAUCUACCUCUUCGUGGCGACUGCGAAGGACAUAUGGGACAGUGUUCAGGAGAUGUACUCCGACGCGGAAGAUGCAUCCCAGAUUUUUGAAAUAAAGACCAAACUUUGGAAGGCAAAACAGGGAGAGAGAAGUGUCAUUGAGUACUACAUGGAAAUAACCUCGUUAUGGCAGGAAUUGGAUCUGAGUAUGGAUGAAACAUGGGGUUGCCCUGGUGAUGGGGUUCGGUAUAAGAAGAGUUUAGAGAAUGAGCGUCUGUAUGAAUUUUUGGUUGGCUUAGAUAGAGACCUCGACGAUGUGAGAGGCCGGAUUCUCAGCCGCCGGCUACUGCCCACCACCCGAGACGCCUUCGUAGAAGUACGACGCGAGGAAAGUCGGCGUCUGAUUAUGUUGAAGAAGGAAGGGACUAGCCUU